UGAUCGCAUCUCAUUCAACAAAUUAAUAUCCUCCAAACAGUCAGAUUCAACCAAAAGAUUAAAGAUAUGAAGGGAGGAAGUACUCUCAAGCCCAUGACAAAUGUCUCGCUUCAAGAAUCUUUACCUCCUUGCAUCGAGGUAUAAAUUUCAAUCCAAUAAGACGUACACGAACUAGAUAGUCUCAAAGCACCCAAUCCAGAUAGCUCAGCUUAGAGACAGAGUUGCAAAUAACAUCCAUAUUUAACUUAUAGAAGGAUACCUUGGGAGGAUGCCACCCAGUUGGAGGCUUAAUACAUAGACGGAGGAUCUCCACAGAGCCUUUUACCACUAGAUGCCUCUCUCUCAGGGCACCCAUCGUGUAGGGAUUGGGAGUGCAGCGGCAUUACACAACACCAUGCCUAGAGAGAGAGUGAACUUCAGUAGACCUAGAAGAUGUGGUCGACAUUGGGCUUCGAUCAGACGGCAUCGACGCUAGUGGCUCUCAGCAGUAGGUGGAGUCGUCUGGUCCGGUUUAGGCGUUUUGGUGGUUUCGGUCUUCGAUUGUAGAGGGUUGUGGGUUGCUUCAACGUGUGGGUUUCCAAUUCUGUGACAGUAUCGUUCAGCGACUUGGGUUCUUCGGUUCAGGUGAUUUUCAGCGUGGUUUUUUCCAAUUUGUGACGGGUUUCAUCCAUGGUUUUUACGGCCACGGUUUAGGGGUCAAUUUCGGACGGAUUGGGCUUCGUUCUACAGGUCGUUUAUCACAUGUUUCUCUAGGUAUCAGUGGGUGUUUUGCUCAACAAUUAGUCCCAGUCAAGAGGCUGGUUAAUCGUGAUCGCCAUCAUAGUUACAGAUUGUUGAUAUUUAUUAUUUUUCUGUAACUCAGUUAUUUCUGGUCGAUGUAGACUAAAUUGAUCGAACGAAUAUAUAUUAUUGUGUCUCUGUUCUAUUCUUUAUUGUUUUGAUUUA